UACGUAGGGUGCAAGCGUUAAUCGGAAUUACUGGGCGUAAAGCGUGCGCAGGCGGUUAUGUAAGACAGGUGUGAAAUCCCAGGGCUUAACCUUGGAACUGCAUUUGUGACUGCAUAGCUAGAGUACGGUAGAGGGGGAUGGAAUUCCCGGUGUAGUGGUGAAAUGCGUAGAUAUCGGGAGGAACACCAGUGGCGAAGGCGACUACCUGGCCCAUUCUUGACGCUGAGGCGCGAAAGCUAGGGGAGCGAACGGG
rnacentral:rRNA from 1 species